AGUGGCGGACGGGUGAGUAACGCGUGGGUAACCUGCCAUAUACAGGGGGAUAACACUUAGAAAUAGGUGCUAAUACCGCAUAAGCGCACGAUGCCGCAUGACAUCGUGUGAAAAACUCCGGUGGUAUAUGAUGGACCCGCGUCUGAUUAGCUGGUUGGUGGGGUAACGGCCUACCAAGGCGACGAUCAGUAGCCGGCCUGAGAGGGUGAACGGCCACAUUGGGACUGAGACACGGCCCAAACUCCUACGGGAGGCAGCAGCUAAGAAUAUUCCGCAAUGGAGGAAACUCUGACGGAGCGACGCCGCGUGGAUGAUGAAGGUCGGAAGAUUGUAAAAUCCUUUUAUGACUGAGGAAUAAGUACGUUGAGAGAAACGGCGUAUGGUGACUGUAGGUCAUGAAUAAGCAACGGCUAAUUACGUGCCAGCAGCCGCGGUAACACGUAAGUUGCGAGCGUUGUUCGGAAUUAUUGGGCGUAAAGGGCAUGUAGGCGGUAUUGCAAGCCUGGUGUGAAAGGCGGGGGCUCAACCCCUGGACUGCGCUGGGAACUGCAUUACUAGAGUCGCUGAGGGGCAAUCAGAAUUCCAGGUGUAGGGGUGAAAUCUGUAGAUAUCUGGAAGAAUACCAAUGGCGAAGGCAGGUUGCCAGCAGAUGACUGACGCUGAGGUGCGAAGGUGCGGGGAGCAAACAGGAUUAGAUACCCUGGUAGUCCGCACAGUCAACGAUGUACACUGGAUGUCUGGAAUAAAAUCUGGGUGUCGAAGCAAACGCGAUAAGUGUACCGCCUGGGGAGUAUGCCCGCAAGGGUGAAACUCAAAGGAAUUGACGGGGGCCCGCACAAGCGGUGGAGCAUGUGGUUUAAUUCGACGCAACGCGAAGAACCUUACCAGGAUUUGACAUCCAACUAACGAAGCAGGGAUGCAUUAGGUGCCCUUCGGGGAAAGUUGAGACAGGUGGUGCAUGGUUGUCGUCAGCUCGUGUCGUGAGAUGUUGGGUUAAGUCCCGCAACGAGCGCAACCCCUAUUGUUAGUUGCUACGAAAGAGCACUCUAGCGAGACUGCCGUUGACAAAACGGAGGAAGGCGGGGACGACGUCAAAUCAUCAUGCCCCUUAUGUCCUGGGCUACACACGUAAUACAAUGGUGGAAAACAGAGGGAAGCAAGACUGCGAAGUGGAGCAAAUCCCUAAAAGCCAUCUCAGUUCGGAUUGAAGGCUGCAACUCGCCUGCAUGAAGCUGGAAUUGCUAGUAAUCGCGGAUCAGCAUGCCGCGGUGAAUACGUAAGCGGGCCUUGCACUCACCGCCCGUCA
rnacentral:rRNA from 1 species